GUAUCUCAAGAUCCUGCACAAACACAAAAAUUUGCUCCCAACGCUAUGAAGGGGUUGUCAAUCCCUUAUAGAUUGUUUGCCAAGUGAGGACUGAAAGCAACAAAGUAACAAAGCAAAGUAAAAGCGGAGAUGUAAACGAUGGAUGUGAAUAGACCCGGGGGUCGUAGUGUUUACUAGUGGCUUCUCUCAUGAAAGCAAGUAGACGGUGGGUGAAC
rnacentral:lncRNA from 1 species